rnacentral:rRNA from 1 species
GGGGAGCUGGCAACAAGCUUUGAUCCGAAGAUUCCCGAAUAGGGCAACCUCAUAGAACUUCCUAUAUAAUUCAUAGUUAGGUAAGAGGCAACCCAGUGAACUGAAACAUCUAAGUAGCUGGAGGAAAAGAAAGCAAACGCGAUUCCCGUAGUAGCGGCGAGCGAACCGGGAACAGCCUAAACCUACGCCGCAAGGUGUAGGUGUCGUGGGAGGACGCAUAUUUAAAAUUUCUAGUUUUUAAUACGAAGCAGCUGAAUCCUGCACCAUAGAUGGUGAAAGUCC